GGCAAGAUGGCCGAGUUGGUUAUGGCGUGAGGUUAAGGUGAUCACCCUUAGCAAUAAGAUCUAGCAUCUAAUUCCUCAUGGAGCAAUCCGCGUGGGUUCAAGUCCCACUCUUGUCA
rnacentral:tRNA from 1 species